CAAUAGCGUAUAUUUAAGUUGUUGCAGUUAAAAAGCUCGUAGUUGGAUUUCGGAUGGGACUUGCCGGUCCGUCGUUUCGAUGUGCACUGGCCAGUCCUAUCUUGUUGUCGGGGACUAGCUCCUGGGCUUCACUGUCCGGGACUAGGAGCUGACGAGGUUACUUUGAGUAAACUAGAGUGUUCAAAGCAAGCCUACGCUCUGAAUACAUUAGCAUGGAAUAACACGAUAGGACUCUGGCUUAUCUUGUUGGUCUGUGAGACCAGAGUAAUGAUUAAGAGGGACAGUCGGGGGCAUUCGUAUUUCAUUGUCAGAGGUGAAAUUCUUGGAUUUAUGAAAGACGAACUUCUGCGAAAGCAUUUGUCAAGGAUGUUUUCAUUAA
rnacentral:rRNA from 1 species